AUUGGACGCUGGCGGCAUGCUUUACACAUGCAAGUCGAACGGUAACAGCACUUCGGUGGCUGACGAGUGGCGAACGGGUGAGUAAUACAUCGGAACGUGCCUAGUAGUGGGGGAUAACUACUCGAAAGAGUAGCUAAUACCGCAUGAGAUCUAAGGAUGAAAGCAGGGGACCUUCGGGCCUUGCGCUACUAGAGCGGCUGAUGGCAGAUUAGGUAGUUGGUGGGAUAAAAGCUUACCAAGCCGACGAUCUGUAGCUGGUCUGAGAGGACGACCAGCCACACUGGGACUGAGACACGGCCCAGACUCCUACGGGAGGCAGCAGUGGGGAAUUUUGGACAAAGGGCGCAAGCCUGAUCCAGCAAUGCCGCGUGCAGGAUGAAGGCCUUCGGGUUGUAAACUGCUUUUGUACGGAACGAAAAGCCCUCUUCUAAUACAGGAGGGUCAUGACGGUACCGUAAGAAUAAGCACCGGCUAACUACGUG
rnacentral:rRNA from 1 species